ACCUGCAAGUUGGAUCAUGAUGUCCUUGGAAAAGUAAAUGGUGCUUCUCAAAAAUUUAUGUACAUACAGUCUUACUUUGAGCUGAAAUGGCGAUGAUAUGUCAGUGUUAAUAUUUCAUCGGCAAUCAAACUUUUCCUGCGGGUUGGCAUAUUAACAGUGAAAGUCCUACUAUGCUCCCCUCCGAUGACGCGCUCUGACAAUCACGGGCUUCCUGUAGCUGGCAGCCAUGAGGCAGGAAGCUCUGCAAUGAUUCACAGUGCAGUUUUUCAGAGGAAAACUGCAGACAGAUACGGAAUUCAGUUAACUGAAGACAAGCACCAAAUUCAGCUAACUACAGAUAUAGACCAAAUUACAUCGUAAAGGGCGGUGGCAGCGGACAACACUCCAUCUUCCUGCUGCCUCCUUUUGCUCCUGUGCGCAGCUAAAAACGGUAGGCGGAAGGAGGUGGAGCUUGGCCGCCCACCGCGCAUGCAACGGAGAACGACAGGUGAUGGGAGAGGUGUAUUCUAGCAGUUGCACUAAUAUUUUGUAUCGAGUCAUUGAGUGCACUUGUUAGUAGACAGCUAAGAACAACUCUCGCAUGUGCGAAGUUAUUGUGCUUUGCAAAGGUGCAUUUUUUGUGCUUGUCUGUAGUAUUCAUCUAAUUUCUCUUUCACAUUUAUGGAGACCUUUUUGCUUGCUGCAUCAACCCUAUUUAUAGACGUUGCUAUUAUUUAAACAUUUGACUUAUUCAUGUGAAUUUUUUUGAGGCUACAUCUCAGUGCAAGUUUGGAGAAGCUGCUAGGACACUUCAUGUAGACUAAAGUUCUACCAUACAAGUGCAUUUCUUUUGUCAGUAUCUUGGAAGUUGCUGCCAGUGAAUCUGUUGGGGAGGAACUCACUGUCGUCGGAUCUCUGUGCAUGGAGUUCCCCCCUUCGCAUUCAUGAUCGUGGCUCCAUGUGUUGACCGGCUUUCCAGGCUGCUUUACAAACACUUCUUUCUCAUCUUAUUGUGUUAUGCUGAUGCAAAGCGCGAUCUUUUUAUCCCUUACGAAGCACAAUGUCACAUCUGAUUUAUAACCAUAAUGAUGGAAGUGCAGGCU